rnacentral:rRNA from 1 species
UACGGGGGGGGCAAGCGUUGUUCGGAAUUACUGGGCGUAAAGGGCUCGUAGGCGGCCAACUAAGUCGGAUGUGAAAUCCCCAGGCUUAACCUGGGAACUGCAUCCGAUACUGGAUGGCUUGAAUCCGGGAGAGGGAUGCAGAAUUCCAGGUGUAGCGGUGAAAUGCGUAGAGAUCGAGAGGAACACCAGUGGCGAAGGCGAGUUCCUGGACAAGUCCUGACGCUGAGGCACGAAAGCCAGGGGAGCAAACAGG